CGGCGGCCAUGGCCCAGGAGAGACGCCCGGUCCCAUUCCGAACCCGGAAGCUAAGACCUGGCACGGCGAUGGUACUGCACCCGACAGGGUGUGGGAGAGUAGCACGCCGCCGCACC
rnacentral:rRNA from 3 species